AUGAACAAUAGUCUUUAUCAUGUCUUUGUCAAACUGGUCAAGGGUAUCCUUUUUUGGUGCAAUUUUUGAAUUUUGAUUUUCUCCUGGCCUAUUAAUUAAUGUGAUUAUAAAACUUUCACUUAUCUUUAAACAUUGUGCAGUUCUUUUUGUGAUUUUAUUCCAGGAAUGAAAAGGAGCUCCUCGCUUUGACUCUGCAUCAAAAUAAUUAUACACUUUUAGGAUUAUAUCUUUUUUUCUUUUGAAAUUUUGGGUGGCAUUGUAAUUCCUUUCUUUUAAUUUUAGUAGGGGAGACAAUUGUUAACAAUAAAAAACUGAAAGAUUUUCUUCACCCACGAAGGUUAUUAUU
rnacentral:lncRNA from 1 species